rnacentral:lncRNA from 1 species
CUCUGAGAGACUCUAUUCUAUUCAUCCACCCAAAGGAGGAAUUCAUACUCAAAUAUCCCUGACAAAUGACCGGCCAUUUAAAAAAUUGCAAACUCUAGACUUAAAGUAUUCAGCACAUAGGAGAGACUCAAUCUGGUACUUGGUAUAGUCCCUGCUUGCAAGAUAAAUAAAUGAAAGAAUCAAAGAAUACACACGGAGGAGAUAUUGAAUCCAGGUGCUUGUCCUUGGUGGUGUCUGUCUCCAUGGAGGAGAAUAGAUUCUGGAGCCAGGAAGCCAGGGAAUUAAACACCAACGACCCAUCAAAAAACAGCUGCAGCAUUUCUAAAGGAGUGAAUGGUGGGACACAUGAGCACAGUUUUGCCCGUUACCCUGGUUUUCAGAAUUACCAGCUCUCUCCCUGGCUCCUGGUUCUCUGUUAUUAAUAUUCAUUGAGGAAGAUAAGGUUUUUCUGCAUUUCUCAAAAGUAAAAAGGGAAGGUCUGUUUCUCAGUGUUCUCUAUAUUCAAGCAAAUACUGUGACCUCCUGUAGCAGCCCCCAAAUCCGAGCAUUAUUUCUCAGUUAUCAAUCCCAUUAGCCAAGAUGCUGUUUGUGAGUGGAAGUGCACGGUACCAUUAUUACAGGCAGCUAAACAUUCGUGCUUUAAAGAAAGUUAUAUGUUAUACCAAAAGGAGCAUAAAUUGGAAUUGAUUUCAUUAGAAGAAUUUAACACCCGCGAAAUAAUGAUACUACUUUUUCUUUAGGGACACGAUUGCAUUACAGUGUUGCUUCACUAAAUUAAAAACGCUAUCAAGUUGGUAGUAAAUUCUGAAAUGUGUUACUGAGCAAACUCUAAAGGCCAUUUAGAGGCCAGGAGUUUAUAUAUAUCUCAACAGAAACAAAUUAGACACAAAGUUUAAAAUUCAGCUUUCAUUACAGGAAACUGAAUGCACAUCAUUUCAUCAUUUUUUGUUGUUGUUGUUAAUACUUUAUUUUAAUGACUCAGCAGAUGAUUCCACUGAUGUUUAGCUGCUGAAGGAGGUAAAUUUAAUGAUGUUGAGUAUUUGAGAGUUCAAGAAUAUUUGGACUGUGGAGCCCUCUACAAUAAUUGGAAUUUAUUCCAAAUGAAUUUUUCUA